UACGGGGGAUGCGAGCGUUAUCCGGAUUCACUGGGUUUAAAGGGUGCGUAGGUGGGUUGGUAAGUCAGUGGUGAAAUCUCCGAGCUUAACUUGGAAACUGCCAUUGAUACUAUCAGUCUUGAAUAUUGUGGAGGUUAGCGGAAUAUGUCAUGUAGCGGUGAAAUGCUUAGAUAUGACAUAGAACACCAAUUGCGAAGGCAGCUGGCUACGCAUAUAUUGACACUGAGGCACGAAAGCGUGGGGAGCAAACGGG
rnacentral:rRNA from 1 species